rnacentral:rRNA from 1 species
AAUGAACGUUGGCGGCGUGGAUUAGGCAUGCAAGUCGAGCGAGAACCCGCAAGGGGGACAGCGGUGAACGGGGUAGGACAACGUAGGUAACGUACCCUCGGGGCGAGGACAGCCACGGGAAACUGUGGGUAAUACUCGAUAAACUUCCCAAUCAUUAUGGAAGGGGAAGCAAUGGGUGUGAUUCCACCUGAGGAGCGGCUUACGCAGUAUCAGCUUGUUGGUGAGGUAACGGCUCACCAAGGCUACGACGCUUAGGGGGUGUGAGAGCAUGGCCCCCACCACUGGCACUGAGACACUGGCCAGACACCUACGGGUGGCAG